UAUCUGGUUGAUCCUGCCAGUAGUCAUAUGCUUGUCUCAAAGAUUAAGCCAUGCAUGUCUAAGUACAAACCUUAAUACGGUGAAACCGCGAAUGGCUCAUUAAAUCAGCUAUGGUUCCUUAGAUCGUCUCAUCCUACUCGGAUAACUGUGGAAAAUCUAGAGCUAAUACGUGCUUACAAGCCCUGACCUCACGGGAGGGGCGCAUUUAUUAGAUCAAAACCAAUCGGGGCUUGCCCCGUCUGCUUGGUGACUCUGGAUAACUUUUGUGCUGAUCGCAUGGCCUCUGCGCUGGCGACGUAUCUUUCAAGGCGGGCUUAUUUUCUAGCGCGCUUAAUUGUGUGCUAUACUUAAAUAAGCCGGCGGGCCGUGCUAUAGACUCAAAUUGGCGAGGCAAAAACGAAGGGAGCUUUGCUCAAGAGUCUUGUUAGCGGAGCUACUACUAUUUUUUUAACGCCUCAGCGGUCACAUGCUACCUAUAAAAAUCUUCUUGGUCGGAGGUGCCUAUGCCUGUUAGCCUCUCUUUAAUUUAUUUAUAUAGAGAGUACCUAGCUGCGCUUGAGUGUCGUAAAGAGGGUGCGCUCGGUCGGGAUUAUUAAUAAGCGCACACCACUGACGCAAGGCUCAAUGAGAUGCAAAGACUGUUCGCUCCUUUUCCUCCCAGACCUGACGGGAGUUUGCUACACAGAUUUUGGUAGUUUUUAUAAAAAUAUUUUCCCUUCCAAGUAAGGAGCGACGACUCUUAUUAUGUCUGAGCAUCCACCUCUAACCUCUAACGGUUUAUUUCACACUGUUUGAUUAAACUUUUUUUAAAGGCAUAGCCUUGAAAAAAGAACCGAUCACCGAGAAGUUUUGCUUCCCUUCGUUAGAUCGAAGUAUUUGCAGGCCCAUAGUGACUUGCAUAAUGAACAACUCUGAGCGGUGGAUCACUCGGCUCGUGCGUCGAUGAAGAGCGCAGCCAACUGCGUGAAUUAGUGUGAAUUGCAAGGAUAUCUUGAACAUCGACAUCU
rnacentral:ncRNA from 1 species